GGAAAGAAGAAGAAGAAGAAGAAAGAUAACAUUGAAGAAGCCAGCUUUGCAUCGCUCUCUUUUCCAUCUUUCUUUAUUUAUCUUUAUAAACUUCUUUUCAGGAGUAUUACAAAAUUUGGAGGCAGCGCUGGGAUUGGUGUCAGAUUGGUCAUCCCUCGUAAUCUUCAGGAACCCCCACUAAAAUCCAUCUCUUAACUACCCAGACGUGGAGCUGUUGAGUAAAGUGACCAGACAGAAUUGAUUGAACGUAGCAUGCACGCUGGGUACCAACAACCACCAGAAGCAGCUGAUUUAAGUCAGAUAAGUCAAAGUUCACACACAAAACUGUAAACACUGAAGGAAAGAUGGAGGCUUAGCACAACCUUCAGGACCAGAUUCGUGAGAGACUGUGUACAUUAACCAGAGGAAAAUUAAUUGAACUGGCUCAAUCCAUUGAAAUCCACAUAAACGCAAAUGCCACACGCCUUUCUCUAGUUACUCUGCUAAGUAGUUAUCUGCUGCAAAAAGACUUGGAAGAACUUGAGGAUGGAGGCAUGGCGAAGUUGCUAGAUAUAAAUUAUAAGUAAUUGAGUGAGAUGAUGUUAACUAAUGUAAAUGAGGAAAAUCCAGCCCAGGUACAAAGAGGGGAAAUUAACCACACAGCUAAUUCUACACAAACAAACUUGCCUACUUCACCGAGCUCUAGAUUGGCACCUGCAUCAACAGACAGUGUAGCAGCUAACUCAUUGCUACCCCCACAGGGACAAAUAAUACCAGCUGUUUGGCACCGAAAGUUUAAGAUUUCAGGUUUUAUCGGAGAGCCGGGCCAAAAGGAUAGAUUAACAUACUCGUGUUUGGCGCGUCAAAUUGAAAGUGGACUGAAUAAGUGUUACCAAGAUCAAGAAAUCGUUGAUGCAGUUAUUCGAGCUAUUACACCAGGCCUUCAAUUACGCAGCUACCUGGAAGGAAAGACAGAUUUGACUCUACCGAUGUUAAGACGAAUUCUCCGUUCACAUUACCAGGAAAAGAAUGCAACAGAGUUAAAUAAACAACUGACUGCAGAAUCACAGCGUCCAAAAGAAACACCUCAAAGUUUCCUCAUACCUGUGCUUGACAUGAGGCAGAAAAUUCUCUUUGCAUCACAAGAAGAUGAGUCAGGUUUGAAGUGUGACCCAGCACUCGUACAGAAUGUUUCUUCACACUAUGUUAACAGGUUUGCAGAAUGACCGUAUUCAGGGUGAUCUCCAACCGUAUCUGAUGGACGCCACAGUUACAGAUAAGAUGCUGUUGGAGAAGUUGAAUGUUGCAUGCUCCCACAAGGCUGAGAGACUGAGUAAAAGAAAAGGUGAACGAAGUGCCAGUGUGAAUGCUACUCAGUCAAGUGAACCAGCCUUGCAGUCAAAAAAACAAACAAAAGCAGCCAAAAAUUUAUUUGAUGUCACUGUUAAAAAGUUUUAGUAAAGAGGUAAUGCAGAUAAAGGAAUCAAUGCAGCAACCCUCACCUCUGCAGCAACAAUGCGCUGUGGUCAACAGUUAUGUCCCACCUCUAAGAGCAGCCCAUCAGUCUACCUCAGAAGGGAAUCAGGCGCUGCAAAAUCAGGUCUGGAGGGCAAUGCCACAGACGAGUGAACAACAGCAAUAUACAUUUCAAGCCCCUCAUUUCACACCACAAUCAUAUC